rnacentral:lncRNA from 1 species
AUAAAAUAAGCAAUAAGUAGUCAGAGCAGGGAGCAAAACAGAUGUACAUAUGAGUAAUAGAAGCUGAUAGAGGAAAACCAAAACAAAGAAAAAUCACCUGGAAGGUGACAGGGAGCAGGGAGCAUUUGAGUCGAUGAGUACAAAACAUUCACAGAGACAAGAAUUUUCAACACCAACACAAAUAUGUAUGCCCAUAACAAUAUUUGAGUUCAAUAUUUCACAGGUACUAAGCCUUCAAUUAAAAAAAAUCACACCAAUACUUAUAGAAUCACAUUUAUGUAAAAAACUCAUCAUCCUGUCCUUGGCCUAAAGAAUUGACAGGUGCAACAUGUCCAUCGUCGAUGUAGGUGUCAUCAUUAUCAUCAUAUUCAUCAACUAAGUCUUCAUCAUUUGGUUCUGGCAUAGGUAUAGCUUUUUCAAUGACCCUAGCAUCACUAGUCACUCCUUGGAGGUCAUUCCUUGCCCAAUUUAUCAACACUUCAUGUUGGCUAGAAAUAUUCAUGGCCUCCACACCGACGUCAAGUAAGUCAAUAUCAAUAUAUCCUUGUUGUUCAGUUUCUUCUAGUUCUGGCAUGGAAAACAAAGUCCUAGGCUUCAUUCUAACAACACUGCUCCAGUUGGAUUUAUUUGCGCAUUUGACAUAAAAAACCUGCUCAACUUGAGUCCCCAGAACAUAAGGAUCAUUUACAUAUCGACGACGAGUUGUAUCAAUAUCUAUAAUCCCAUAUUGAUCUUUACUGUACCCUCUACUUUUGUUCUUAGUAGCGGCAGGAACAUCGUACCAAUCACACUCAAAUAAUGACUUCUUUUUCACCAGGGAAAUCUAAUGUGAUUAUCUUUUUAAGGACACCAUACCAAUCCAUAUUUCCCGUACUAUCAUCACCCUUCACUAAAACUCCAGAAUUUUGUGUACUAAAGCUAACCUCUAUAGAAGCCAUUCGAAUAAGGAAAUCAUGGAUGAAGCAUCUGCUGAAAACACGGGCCAUAUAAUGGGGACCCUGAGAAAGGGCAUAUAGCUCAUCACUAAUCUUCCGUUUUGCAUAAACUACCUUCAUUUGCACUCAAUUCAAAUAAAUAAAUAAAACAAUUUCUAUUUUUUUACAUGUAUAUGACAACAUUGCUCACCUUACCUUCAAACCACCCAACAAAAUGCUCCCUAUGAUGCUUAUCAACGCCAUGUGCGCUAGUUCUUCUCAUUAGCUCCUUAUGCUCACUAUAUAUUAUUGGUUGGAACAAACAGAUUACAUUAGUGCAACAUUAAUCAUGAGUUAUUAUUCUACUCUUACUUAUGUACUAUGAAAAAAAUACAAAAACACCAAAUAGGUGGUAGUAACAGCUUACUUAAUCCAUGGAAUUGCUUCGUCACAGUUUGAUAAUAUGUAGUGCUGCAUCUGCAGCAUGUCAAAUCUAGAAAUAGGCUCAAUUUUGCAGCCUUUCUUGCUAUAGUCGAUGUUCCCAAAUAUGCUAGGCCCAGCCAGUGGUUCAUUCACCGCGCUGCUCUGAUGACGCGCUGGGCGAUUCAGCUUCAUAUCAAUGUCUUCUAGGAAGCAAGAGUAGAAUGUCAUGCACUCCUCUGAGAUAUAUCCCUCCGCUAUUGAACCUUCUGGUUGUGCCUUGUUUCUAACAUAUCCUUUAAGUGUACGCAGAUACCUCUCGAUCGGAUACAUCCAC